rnacentral:tRNA from 1 species
GGCUUAGUGGUCUAGCGGUAUGAUUCCUGCUUUGGGUGCCGGAGGUCCCGGGUUCAAUCCCCGGCUGAGCCC